GCUGGGCGUGGUGGCGCAUGCCUGUAAUCCCAGAUACUUGGGAGGCUGAGGCAGGAGAAUCGCUUGAACCUGGGAGGCGGAGGUUGCAGUGAGCCGAGAUCACACCACUGCACUCCAGCCUGGGUGACAGAGUGAGACUCAGUCUCCC
rnacentral:SRP_RNA from 2 species